rnacentral:rRNA from 1 species
GUCGAACGGCAGCACGGGAGCAUCCUGGUGGCGAGUGGCGAACGGGUGAGUAAUAUAUCGGAACGUGCCCAGUCGUGGGGGAUAACGUAGCGAAAGCUACGCUAAUACCGCAUACGAUCUACGGAUGAAAGCGGGGGACUCGCAAGAGCCUCGCGCGAUUGGAGCGGCCGAUAUCAGAUUAGGUUGUUGGUGAGGUAAAAGCUCACCAAGCCUGCGAUCUGUAGCUGGUCUGAGAGGACGACCAGCCACACUGGAACUGAGACACGGUCCAGACUCCUACGGGAGGCAGCAGUGGGGAAUUUUGGACAAUGGACGCAAGUCUGAUCCAGCAAUGCCGCGUGCAGGACGAAGGCCUUCGGGUUGUAAACUGCUUUUGUACGGAACGAAACGGUCUGCUUUAAUACAGUGGGCUAAUGACGGUACCGUAAGAAUAAGCACCGGCUAACUACGUGCCAGCAGCCGCGGUAAUACGUAGGGUGCGAGCGUUAAUCGGAAUUACUGGGCGUAAAGCGUGCGCAGGCGGUUAUAUAAGUCAGAUGUGAAAUCCCCGGGCUCAACCUGGGACCUGCAUUUGAGACUGUAUAGCUAGAGUACGGUAGAGGGGGGAUGGAAU